rnacentral:lncRNA from 1 species
GAGAUUAGGCUUCCAUGGUAUGGGAGGUAGCAGCAGCACGGCUGUGUUCUCGCUCCUUUCUCCCGUCGUCGGCUCCCUCUCCCUUUUAGACUUCUGCGGGAACUCUCAGAAGAGUCCAUGAGUUAUUCGAUCGGAAAAGGGUUGCCCCUCCCAGGAGAAUAACUCUUCCCUUUUUAUAGCAUCCUGACUCCUGUUAUCCUCGCCCGAAUAUAAUGAGAAGAUAAAUGCAGAGGAAUCGCUUCUGUUCCGCGGACGUGAUCGAGAUGGGGAGAAGAUCCGAUCCGGACGUGAAAGUCGGAGUCCACUGAUGCCAGAGAUGAGACUCCCGGCUUUGUUCUGUUCCUGGGAAGCAUGGCUCGAAGGCAUAUGGAAGAUUCAUCCCGAUCGCAUCCCGGAAUGGUUGCAGCUGGUUCAGAUUCGUGGGUUGAAAGGGAUGAAGUUGCUUGAUCUUUUGGAUGCAGGUGAUGGCGAGG